rnacentral:tRNA from 1 species
GUACGCGUAGCUCAGCUGGAUAGAGCGUUCGCCUCCGGAGCGAAAGGUCGAGAGUUCGAAUCUCUUCGUGUACA